CACCUGGCCGCCAAACAUAAGCGACCUUAGAGGGUGAUCGGCCACCACUGGGACUGAGACACGGCCCCAGACUCCCUACGGGUAGGCAGCAGUAAGGGAAUCUUCGGCAAUGGGGGCAAACCCCUGGACCCGAGCAACCCCGCGUGAGUGAAGAAGGUUUUUCGGAUCGUAAAAGCUUCUGUUGUAAAGUCAAAGAACGAGUGUGAGAGUGGAAAAGUUUCACACUGUGACGGUAGCUUACCAGAAAGGGGACGGCUAACUACGUGCCAGCAGCCGCGGUAAUACGUAGGGUCCCGGAGCGUUGUCCGGAUUUAUUGGGCGUAAAGCGAGCGCAGGCGGUUUGAUAAGUCUGAAGUUAAAAGGCUGUGGCUCAACCAUAGUUCGCUUUGGAAACUGUCAAACUUGAGUGCAGAAGGGGAGAGUGGAAUUCCAUGUGUAGCGGUGAAAUGCGUAGAUAUAUGGAGGAACACCGGUGGCGAAAGCGGCUCUCUGGUCUGUAACUGACGCUGAGGCUCGAAAGCGUGGGGAGCGAACAGG
rnacentral:rRNA from 1 species